AUGAUAACAUCGGCAGAUAUUCCCCCUGCCACCCAGCCAGCCCUGCGAAGUUGCACUUGUGGCCUUAAUCCCACUUGGAUGUGUGCCCCGCUGCCUCCACUCUCCGUCACUUGGGUUCAAGCCCCAUCUCCAGCACAAGAAAACCUGUGUAGCCCUUCCUUUUGUGGCCAGAGCUGCAAAACAGCCCCACAGCCAGAGCACUCGCACAAGGAGCCAUUAGACAAGACAGACAUUGGGAAAAGCUAUAAAUAAAGCGACUCUGGUGGUGAAGGGGCUGCUCUGGGCAGCAGGAUGCAGACUUUGGCCCUGGCUUCCCACAGGCAUCCAGCACCCCAAGACCCCUGGCAGCCCCACGGCUGCACAUCCUGUGCGGGGCUGGUCGCUCGUGUGGCCACUGGUCCCAGCCAUCCCCACGGCCCCGACCUGCCUUGGCCCGUGUGAAGCUGUGCAAGGAGAAUAAAGUUUGUUGUAAAUGUGAAUUUAAUGUGUUU
rnacentral:lncRNA from 1 species